rnacentral:ncRNA from 2 species
AGAUGGGGUAGAGGUCGCGGUUUAUAAAAGUAUCCUAUUGGAGAUUUAGUGAAAUCUAGGAAAAUAGGAAAAAGGAUAAAUCGCCGAAGCUUUUUGAAAUCACUAUUUUCAAUAAAGCUGGGGCUGUACUCGAAUAGGGGCAGAACUGUCACAAUUCCUUUGAAUUGUGGAGAACUAUCACGACA